rnacentral:tRNA from 1 species
GUUUUAAGUAGCUUAACACAAAGCACGGCCCUGAAGUUGCCGCGAAGGAUGCACUCCCUAGAACA